UACAGGGGGUGCAAACGUUGCUCGGAAUCAUUGGGCGUAAAGCGCACGUAGGCGGUCUGUUAUGUCGGAUGUGAAAGCCCUUGGCUCAACUGAGGAAGUGCAUCCGAAACUGGCAGGCUAGAGUACGAAAGAGGAUCGCGGAAUUCCCGGUGUAGAGGUGAAAUGCGCAGAUAUCGGGAAGAACACCCGUGGCGAAAGCGGCUCUCUGGGACGGUACUGACGCUGAGACGCGAAAGCGUGGGGAGCGAACAGG
rnacentral:rRNA from 1 species